UACGUAGGGACCGAGCGUUGUCCGGAAUCAUUGGGCGUAAAGAGCUCGUAGGCGGUGUGUCGCGUCGGCCGUGAAAACUUGGGGCUUAACUCUGAGCGUGCGGUCGAUACGGGCAUCACUUGAGUUCGGCAGGGGAGACUGGAAUUCCUGGUGUAGCGGUGGAAUGCGCAGAUAUCAGGAGGAACACCGGUGGCGAAGGCGGGUCUCUGGGCAGUAACUGACGCUGGAGGAGCGAAAGCCGUGGGGAGCGAACAGG
rnacentral:rRNA from 1 species